AUUGAACGCUGGCGGCAGGCCUAACACAUGCAAGUCGAGCGAGCGGCGGACGGGUGAGUAAUGUAUGGGAAUCUGCCCGAUAUAGGGGGAUAACUACUGGAAACGGUGGCUAAUACCGCAUACUAUCCGAUGUACACAUAUGGGAUUAGCUAGUAGGUGGGGUAAUGGCUCACCUAGGCGACGAUCUCUAGAUGGUCUGAGAGGAUGAUCAGCCACACGGGGACGGAGACACGGUCCAGACUCCUACGGGAGGCAGCAGUGGGGAAUAUUGCACAAUGGGCGCAAGCCUGAUGCAGCCAUGCCGCGUGUAUGAAGAAGGCCUUAGGGUUGUAAAGUACUUUCAGCGGGGAGGCGUUACCCGCAGAAGAAGCACCGGCUAACUCCGUGCCAGCAGCCGCGGUAAUUC
rnacentral:rRNA from 1 species